CGGCGGACGGUUGAGUAAUGCCUGGGGAUCUGCCCAGUCGAGGGGGGAUAACAGUUGGAAACGACUGCUAAUACCGCAUACGCCCUACGGGGGAAAGGAGGGGACCUUCGGGCCUUUCGCGAUUGGAUGAACCCAGGUGGGAUUAGCUAGUUGGUGGGGUAAUGGCUCACCAAGGCGACGAUCCCUAGCUGGUCUGAGAGGAUGAUCAGCCACACUGGAACUGAGACACGGUCCAGACUCCUACGGGAGGCAGCAGUGGGGAAUAUUGCACAAUGGGGGAAACCCUGAUGCAGCCAUGCCGCGUGUGUGAAGAAGGCCUUCGGGUUGUAAAGCACUUUCAGCGAGGAGGAAAGGUUGAUGCCUAAUACGCAUCAGCUGUGACGUUACUCGCAGAAGAAGCACCGGCUAACUCCGUGCCAUCAGCCGCGGUAAUACGGAGGGGGCAAGCGUUAUCCGGAAU
rnacentral:rRNA from 1 species